AGGCGGCAGGCUACACAUGCAAGUCGAGCGGUAACAGGUCCAGCUUGCUGGAUGCUGACGAGCGGCGGACGGGUGAGUAACGCAUAGGAAUCUACCCGGUAGUGGGGGAUAACCUGGGGAAACCCAGGCUAAUACCGCAUACGUCCUACGGGAGAAAGGGGGCUUAGGCUCCCGCUAUUGGAUGAGCCUAUGCCGGAUUAGCUGGUUGGUGAGGUAAUGGCUCACCAAGGCGACGAUCCGUAGCUGGUCUGAGAGGAUGAUCAGCCACAUCGGGACUGAGACACGGCCCGAACUCCUACGGGAGGCAGCAGUGGGGAAUAUUGGACAAUGGGGGCAACCCUGAUCCAGCCAUGCCGCGUGUGUGAAGAAGGCCCUCGGGUUGUAAAGCACUUUCAGCGAGGAAGAACGCCUGUCGGUUAAUACCCGGCAGGAAAGACAUCACUCGCAGAAGAAGCACCGGCUAACUCCGUGCCAGCAGCCGCGGUAAUACGGAGGGUGCAAGCGUUAAUCGGAAUUACUGGGCGUAAAGCGCGCGUAGGUGGCUUGAUAAGCCGGUUGUGAAAGCCCCGGGCUCAACCUGGGAACGGCAUCCGGAACUAUUAGGCUAGAGUG
rnacentral:rRNA from 1 species